rnacentral:rRNA from 1 species
AUUGAACGCUGGCGGCAGGCCUAACACAUGCAAGUCGAACGAGUGGCGGACGGGUUGGUUAUGUCUGUGAACAUGCGUGGGGGAGGGGGUUAGCUACUGGAAACUGUAACUGCUAACGCAUACCAUCAUCUAUUCCCGCAUGGGAUUUGCUUGGUGGUUGGGUAACGGCUAACAAAGGCGACGAUCCCUAGCUGGUCUGAGAGGAUGACAAGCCACACUGGAACUGAGACACGGUCCAGACUCCUACGGGAGGUAGCAGUGGGGAAUAUUGCACAAUGGGCGAAAGCCUGAUGCAGCCAUGCCGCGUGUGUGAAGAAGGCCUUCGGGUUGUAAAGUACUGUCAGUGGGGAGGCGUUACCCGCAGAAGAAGCACCGGCUAACUCCGUGCCAGCGGCCGCGGUAAUAC